CUUUUUGUUUUUAAGACCUUCUUAUGAAGGUAUGCUUAAAGAGGGGCUUGCGCCACAUUAGUUAGUUGGUAGGGUAAAAGCCUACCAAGACGAUGAUGUGUAGCUGGACUGAGAGGUUGAACAGCCACAUUGGGACUGAGACACGGCCCAAACUCCUACGGGAGGCAGCAGUAGGGAAUUUUCGGCAAUGGAGGAAACUCUGACCGAGCAACGCCGCGUGAACGAUGAAGUAUUUCGGUAUGUAAAGUUCUUUUAUUGAAGAAGAAAAAGUAGUGGAAAAACUAUAUUGACGUUAUUCAAUGAAUAAGCCCCGGCUAACUAUGUGCCAGCAGCCGCGGUAAGACAUAGGGGGCGAGCGUUAUCCGGAAUUAUUGGGCGUAAAGGGUGCGUAGGCUGUUAGAUAAGUCUAUAAUUUAAUUUCAGUGCUUAACGCUGUCUUGUUAUAGAAACUGUCUUGACUAGAGUGAGAUAGAGGCAAGCGGAAUUCCAUGUGUAGCGGUAAAAUGUGUAAAUAUAUGGAGGAACACCAGAAGCGUAGGCGGCUUGCUGGGUCUUUACUGACGCUGAGGCACGAAAGCGUGGGUAGCAAACAGGAUUAGAUACCCUGGUAGUCCACGCCGUAAACGAUGAGUACUAAGUGUCGGGGUAAAACUCGGUACUGAAGUUAACACAUUAAGUACUCCGCCUGAGUAGUACGUACGCAAGUAUGAAACUUAAAGGAAUUGACGGGACUCCGCACAAGCGGUGGAUCAUGUUGUUUAAUUCGAAGAUACACGAAAAAUCUUACCAGGUCUUGACUUACUCUGCAAGCUUUCGAAAUAUAGUAA
rnacentral:rRNA from 1 species